rnacentral:rRNA from 1 species
CCUACGGGGGGCAGCAGUGGGGGAUAUUGCACAAUGGGGGAAACCCUGAUGCAGCGACGCCGCGUGGGCGAAGAAGUAUUUCGGUAUGUAAAGCCCUAUCAGCAGGGAAGAAGAAAUGACGGUACCUGAGUAAGAAGCACCGGCCAAAUACGUGCCAGCAGCCGCGGUAAUACGUAUGGUGCAAGCGUUAUCCGGAUUUACUGGGUGUAAAGGGAGCGCAGGCGGCAAGGGAAGCCUGAUGUGAAAGCCCGGGGCCCAACCGCGGGACUGCAUUGGGAACUACCGGGCUGGAGUGCCGGAGAGGUAGGCGGAAUGCAUAGUGUAGCGGUGAAAUGCGUAGAUAUUAGGAGGAACACCAGUGGCGAAGGCGGCCUACUGGACGGUGACUGACGCUGAGGCUCGAAAGCGUGGGGAGCAAACAGGAUUAGAUACCCCAGUAGUC